UGCGCAGGCGGACUAUUAAGUCAGUGGUGAAAUCCCGGGGCUCAACCUCGGAACUGCCAUUGAUACUGAUAGUCUUGAGUUUGGUUGAAGUAGGCGGAAUGUAGCAUGUAGCGGUGAAAUGCAUAGAUAUGCUACAGAACACCAAUCGCGAAGGCAGCUUACUAAGCCAAAACUGACGCUCAUGCACGAAAGCGUGGGGAGCAAACAGGAUUAGAUACCCUGGUAGUCC
rnacentral:rRNA from 1 species